GGACAAAGCAAAGCUAGGGCUGGGUCUGCCUCCUCCGGGGGCAGGACUUGCAGGGCUCACCACCUGAUCCAUGAAGGGAGUAGUGGGAACCUUGGGCACAUAGCUGGGCCAGGGCCUCAGGAUUACCUGGGGGUCAGUCGGUCCAAACUCUAGGCACGAAUCGUCGACUGAAAAUGCGUGCAGGUCCCCAACCUUCUUGAUGGAGGCCAGUGCAAGCAGGAGCAGUGUUGUCAUUGAUAGAAACUUCAGCUCAACUGACUGCAAAGGCUCAAAUGGGCCCUGCUGUAGUUCUUCGAGCACCAGAGACAGGUCCCAAGAGGGUAUGGAUGGGGGCUGAGGAGGAUUGAACCUUCUUGCCCCCUAAGGAACCUGACGACUAGGUCAUGUUUCCCUACCGACUUCCCCUCCUGGUGUUUCUGCGUCUUGAAUAGUAACCGGUGAAUGGCCCGGUUCAAGACAUGGGGGACCCAACUCGGACGGCUUGUGGACGGAACGAAGAGGGGUCUGAGUGUGCGGUGCAAUGCUUGUCUGGUUCCACAGUUCGGCAUAGGGUGCGUGAAUAGGGCCUUUGUUGACGCUUUCGAACCGCCCGCUGCUGCCUUCUGGCGACAGAGGAGGAUGAGUGUGGUGUUGAUCCACCCGUGACUCUCCGUGCCCUCCUGGGACCCAGAGAUAGAGAAAACUGUUCUUUUGUCGAGAAUUUGGGUGCCAUCGACCGUAAGGUCGACGGCGUUGUAAAACAAAAAAAAAGAUUCUCGACCCGGCCCUCCUCUGGGGGAGGGAGUGGUGCAUUCACCAUCUCCCAAAGAGCAGAUCCCUCCAUCUCUGGGUCGCCCGUCUCAGGGUCGCUUGCUCUUCUGCAUUCCACCAGGUAUGAUAGGGGCCAGGAUGGGCGGGGUGGCCUGCCUAUGAAUGGCUCUACGGUGCAGCUUGGCUGGAGGCUGCUGUGGAUUCAGAAUGGGAGCGGGAGUGAUGGAGCCAUGGGAACGCAGGGGGCCACCCUCGGCAACGAGCUGGCUGGGGUGCUGCGGACGGGAUCUGACAGGUUUUGCUUCUGUGCAGCCGAGAACUGUUAGGCAAAGCUCUCGACUGCGUCGCCGAAGAAGCCGGGGUGCAGAGAUACACAGGGGAAACGGCCGCUUGCAGCACGACAGGGGGUAGUGCAGCCUGAAGUGUGCAACCCACUUGACACAGGAAUGAUCAACACUGAAGCGCUGUCAAAAAGCUCCCUAGAGCGUGCUGAACUCGUUGUCACACACAAAGAUAUUGGCAGGAGCAGAACGAUGUUAUUGCUCGUCUCUGAGGCGAAAAGCUGAUAUGUGUUGCACCG
ensembl:lncRNA